AACGUACGCUGGCGGCACGCCUAACACAUGCAAGUCGAACGCAGUAGCAAUACUGAGUGGCAGACGGGUGAGUAACAUGUGGGAAUCUGCCUUGUGGUUCAGGACAACAUUGGGAAACCGAUGCUAAUACUGGAUAAGCCCUUACGGGGAAAGUUUUAAUGCCAUAAGAUGAGCCCGCAUUUGAUUAGUUAGUUGGUGAGGUAAUGGCUCACCAAGACAAUGAUCAAUAGCUGAUCUGAGAGGAUGAUCAGCCACACUGGGACUGAGACACGGCCCAGACUCCUACGGGAGGCAGCAGUGGGGAAUCUUGCACAAUGGAGGAAACUCUGAUGCAGCGAUGCCGCGUGAGUGAAGAAGGCCUUUGGGUUGUAAAGCUCUUUUGUAGGGGAAGAUAAUGACUGUACCC
rnacentral:rRNA from 1 species